GACAGAGGAUGCAAGCGUUAUCCGGAAUGAUUGGGCGUAAAGCGUCUAUAGGUGGCUUUUAAGUCCGCCGUCAAUCCCAGGCUCAACCCUGGACAGGCGGUGGAAACUACCAAGCUGGAGUACGGUAGGGCAGAGGGAAUUCCGGUGGAGCGGUGAAUGCGUAGAGAUCGGAAAGAACACCAACGGCGAAAGCACUCUGCUGGCCGACACUGACACUGAGAGACGAAAGCUAGGGAGCGAAUGGAUUAGAACUAC
rnacentral:rRNA from 1 species